GUAACCCACGUGACCGCCACGCCCCAACCACCUUCCCUUUAAGCCGUCCCUUUAACAGCUGGGACCCUCAUGUGUAUUUCCGGGUUUCCACUGUGCUGCUGCUCACUGUUAGUUGUGGCGUUGGUUGUUAAUAAAACAAUCUCAAAUCUCCAACUCGACUCAUCGCUGAACGAAUUCAUCUCUAAAACUCGAGGAUCUGCGGUUGGGCUUUGUUGAUGCCUGGUUUACCUUCUGAUGAGAACAAGUAACAUCCACUUCCUCAGACAAUCCGUUACUCGACGGUCAGGUUUUUUUUUUCCUCCCCCUUCAUCGACUCGCUUGCUGACGGAGGAUGGCGAGCUACCCACACACCACCUGGUGGUAGGAAAAAGAAAUACACUCUCCACACAGGAAAACCAAACAACACUUUCCAUACAGGAAACAAAAUAAACUCUAAGGGAGUAUCUAAAGGAAAAGAACAAUUCUCCCGUUGCUCUUGGACUUUUGAACUACAUUUGGUUUUGAAGUAUUAUUGAUUAUUUCAUUUUUGGUUUGUUCUUUUUCCCCCGUCCUUGUUUCUUUUGAACAAUUUCUCUUUGUUUAGUUUUUGCUGUUAGUAUUAUUAUUAUUAUUAUUAUUGUCAUUAUUAUUAUCAUUACUAUUUCCGCUGCAAUAAAUGGCAAUAUAAACAAA